UAGGGAAUAUUGCGCAAUGGGGGAAACCCUGACGCAGCAACUCCACGUGUGGGAAGAAGCAUUUCGGUGUGUAAACCACUGUCGAUAGGGAAUAAACUUGGCAUUCGUGCCAAUUGAAUGUACCUGUAAAGGAAGCACCGGCAAACUUCGUGCCAGCAGCCGCGGUAAUACGAGGGGUGCAAGCGUUGUUCGGAAUCACUGGGCGUAAAGGGAGCGUAGGCGGAACUCCAAGUCGGUCGUACAAUGCCAGGGCCUAACCCUGGACCUGCGGUCGAUACUGGGGCUCUUGAGUUAGUUAGAGGCAGGCGGAAUUCCAGGUGUAGCGGUGGAAUGCGUAGAGAUCUGGAAGAACACCAAUGGCGAAGGCAGCCUGCUGGGAAUUAACUGACGCUGAGGCUCGAAAGUGUGGGUAGCAAACA
rnacentral:rRNA from 1 species